rnacentral:rRNA from 1 species
GAAUUUUGGACAAUGGGCGAAAGCCUGAUCCAGCAAUGCCGCGUGCAGGAUGAAGGCCUUCGGGUUGUAAACUGCUUUUGUCCGGAACGAAAAGACUUGGGCUAAUACCCUGGAGCCAUGACGGUCCCGUAAGAAUAAGCACCGGCUAACGCCUUGCCAGCAGCCGCGGUAAUCACUAGGGUGCAAGCGUCAAUCGGAUUUACUGGGCGUAAAGCGUGCGCAGGCGGUGUUGUAAGACAGAGGUGAAAUCCCCGGGCUCAACCUGGGAACUGCCUUUGUGACUGCAAGGCUAGAGUACGGCAGAGGGGGGUGGAAUUCCGCGUGUAGCAGUGAAAUGCGUAGAUAUGCGGAGGAACACCGAUGGCGAAGGCAACCCCCUGGGCCUGUACUGACGCUCAUGCACGAAAGCGUGGGGAGCAAACA